UGGUAGGAAGAGGGUUUUAAAUAGGUAAGAAUUAAGGAGUAACUUUGUUUUCAGAUACACAAAAGAAUAUUAUAUAGAAUAUAAUAAAGGACACAGACUAGUAGUUUUUUUUAGAUUUUAAGCCCCUACUGAAGGCCAAAAAAGGCAAAAUGAACUUAAUCAUGAGUGUUCAACUAGAUAUAAGAACUGAGUGCUGCAAGGAUGAUUAAAUGUAACCACAGCCUAGCAGAACAGUGUGCAGAAUUACGAUGUUUU
rnacentral:lncRNA from 1 species